CGGUUAAUUGAAAACGACGUUAAAAACAUAAAAACAAGAGAGUAAAUUGCAAACCAUUGAACUAAACAGUGAGAAACCCUAGCCUCUAAUCCUCCGUUCUCCGUCUCUUCUUCUCUGUUCUUUUCGCCGCCGGUUCUGCUCUCCCAGUCACCGCCGGUUCUGCUCUCUCCCAGUCGCCUCCUGUCUUGUUCUGCUGCUGUGUCUUCGUGGUUUUCUGUAGUUUUGCUGCGCUGUCUUGCUCUAGUUCUUGCCUCCGCUGUCUUUGUCCGCUUUUGGUUCGCUGGGUGCGCUCUUGGUAGAUCUCCGGAGGUGCGACUGUUCCGAUUUUAAAAACAAUGAGGGCCGCUGCUUCUCAGAGAUGGGGCUACUUUCGAAUCAUUGCUGGUACAAUCAUAGGAGGCGUCAUCGGAUUCUAUUUUAUGCACCGCAUGGAAAAUAAUUAUAAGGAGAAGAUGAAUGAAAGAUUGAGAAAUUAUGAAGCUGAAUUGAAGAGGAAGAAGCAGGAGAGAUUGGAUGAGUUUGACGAAUCAUCAUAGUCUUCAACUCAUUGGGCUGUCUGCG